GUAAUCGUGAGGUUACAUCUGGAGGAAGCGACCCUACAAAACUUGGUACCGACGAACAGGAAUCGCAUAUGAGGCAUAAAUGCACGGGUAAGUAAGCAGAUCAUUAUAAAGCCCAUAAGAAUACCAAAAGUGAACUAAUGUAGAUGCGGCAGGAAUCAAGUGAAAGAAGAUGUU
rfam:Zobellia galactanivorans strain DsiJT chromosome, complete genome.